rnacentral:rRNA from 1 species
CAGCAGCCGCGGUAAUACGUAGGGUGCGAGCGUUAAUCGGAAUUACUGGGCGUAAAGCGUGCGCAGGCGGUUAUAUAAGACAGAUGUGAAAUCCCCGGGCUCAACCUGGGACCUGCAUUUGUGACUGUAUAGCUAGAGUACGGUAGAAGGGGAUGGAAUUCCGCGUGUAGCGGUGAAAUGCGUAGAUAUGCGGAGGAACACCGAUGGCGAAGGCAAUCCCCUGGACCUGUACUGACGCUCAUGCACGAAAGCGUGGGGAGCAAACAGGAUUAGAUACCCCAGUAGUCCCUGUCUCUUAUAC